GUGUCCUGGACCCGAAGCGGGAUGAUCUAGCCCUGAGCAGGUUGAAGCGCGGGUAAGACCGUGUGGAGGACCGAACCCACCUGGGUUGAAAACCGGGGGGAUGACUUGGGGCUAGGGGUGAAAGGCCAAUCAAAUUCCGUGAUAGCUGGUUCUCUCCGAAAUGCAUUUAGGUGCAGCGUCGGAUCGAUUACAUCCGGGGGGUAGAGCGACUGGAUGCUUGCGGGCCCAUAUCGGGUACCAACAGCAACCAAACUC
rnacentral:rRNA from 1 species